AUGGUUGCUUUAAGACUUGUAAGUCAUUUGCUCAGUAUUUUAAGUGAACUGUUUUUUUUUUCCACUUGUGUUACUAAAACAAUGUGUUUCUUUUACAGAAUCUGUCUACAGUGUGGAAAGAUGGGAAAUUUCCUCUUGAGAAUGUCAGAAGGGUUAAAAAUGUUGAUAUGUGUGCUUUAUUCGGUUUUUUCUCCCCUCCCAUUCAUUUUGAACUUCAUUCUGAAAACAAAAUUAAUAGUUUAUCUGGGGGAAAAAAAUCUAGCAAGUCAAAAGGCAAGAAAAACUCAUAAACUGUCCCAAGAGCGGCAAGAAACCGGGGAAAAAAAGCAGAACAAUUUCAAGAGAAACACAAUGAAAAUGGAAAUCUUAAGACUGAAACUCAAAGAGACAGUACCCAACAUUAAAGGCUGAAAGACUGAUCUAUCUGGUGUGAAAGAAGAUAGGAGAGAACUGACAUACUUCUUACAUGGAAGAUCUGGUUUUCUGUAAGGCUACAGAAUCUAUUAAUAGCCGGGGAUUUAGCUCAGUGGUGGUGCCGCCUGCCUCACAAGAGCAAUGUCCUGAGUUCGAUCCCUGGUACCAAAAAAAAAGAUGGAACAGACUCUAUUAAUAAACACCACAGUCUUUUUCAGAGAUAAUUCAAUUGUCAAGCCUCUCAAAUAUUUCUCUUCUCAUUCAAGUCUCACUAGUACCUUGUAAGGAAGCAUCAUUUAUAGACUUAAUUUAUUCUGAUAGCAA
rnacentral:lncRNA from 1 species